rnacentral:rRNA from 1 species
UACGUAGGGUGCAAGCAUUAAUCGGAAUUACUGGGCGUAAAGCGUGCGCAGGCGGCUUUGCAAGACAGAUGUGAAAUCCCCGGGCUCAACCUGGGAACUGCAUUUGUGACUGCAAGGCUGGAGUGCGGCAGAGGGGGAUGGAAUUCCGCGUGUAGCAGUGAAAUGCGUAGAUAUGCGGAGGAACACCGAUGGCGAAGGCAGCCCCCCUGGGCUGAGAUUGACGCUCAGGCACGAAAGCGUGGGGAGCAAACAGG